CCUACGGGGCGCAGCAGGCGCGAAAACUUUACAAUGCUGGCAACAGCGAUAAGGGAACCUCGAGUGCCAGGUUACAAAUCUGGCUGUCGAGAUGCCUAAAAAGCAUUUCAUAGCAAGGGCCGGGCAAGACCGGUGCCAGCCGCCGCGGUAACACCGGCGGCUCGAGUGGUAACCGUUAUUAUUGGGUCUAAAGGGUCUGUAGCCGGCCGGAUAAGUCUCUUGAGAAAUCUGGCAGCUUAACUGUCAGGCUUUCAGGAGAUACUGUCUGGCUCGAGGCCGGGAGAGGUGAGAGGUACUUCAGGGGUAGGGGUGAAAUCUUGUAAUCCUUGAAGGACCACCAGUGGCGAAGGCGUCUCACCAGAACGGACCUGACGGCAAGGGACGAAAGCUAGGGGCACGAACCGGAUUAGAUACCCGGGUAGUCCUAGCCGUAAACGAUACUCGCUAGGUGUCGGCCACGGUGCGACCGUUGUCGGUGCCGUAGGGAAGCCGUGAAGCGAGCCACCUGGGAAGUACGGCCGCAAGGCUGAAACUUAAAGGAAUUGGCGGGGGAGCACCACAACGGGUGGAGCUUGCGGUUUAAUUGGAUU
rnacentral:rRNA from 1 species